rnacentral:rRNA from 1 species
UACGGAGGUGGCAAGCGUUGCUCGGAAUCACUGGGCGUAAAGCGCACGUAGGCGGAUGUGUCAGUCAGGGGUGAAAUCCCGGAGCUCAACUUCGGAACUGCCCUUGAUACAGCACGUCUUGAGUCCGGAAGAGGUGGGUGGAAUUCCUAGUGUAGAGGUGAAAUUCGUAGAUAUUAGGAAGAACACCGGUGGCGAAGGCGGCCCACUGGUCCGGUACUGACGCUGAGGUGCGAAAGCGUGGGGAGCAAACAGG